rnacentral:rRNA from 1 species
CCUACGGGAGGCUGCAGUGGGGAAUAUUGGACAAUGGGGGGAACCCUGAUCCAGCCAUGCCGCGUGUGUGAAGAAGGCCCUCGGGUUGUAAAGCACUUUCAGUGAGGAAGAACGCCUGGUGGUUAAUACCCAUCAGGAAAGACAUCACUCACAGAAGAAGCACCGGCUAACUCCGUGCCAGCAGCCGCGGUAAUACGGAGGGUGCGAGCGUUAAUCGGAAUUACAGGGCGUAAAGCGCGCGUAGGUGGCUUGAUAAGCCGGUUGUGAAAGCCCCGGGCUCAACCUGGGAACGGCAUCCGGAACUGUCAAGCUAGAGUGCAGGAGAGGAAGGUAGAAUUCCCGGUGUAGCGGUGAAAUGCGUAGAGAUCGGGAGGAAUACCAGUGGCGAAGGCGGCCUUCUGGACUGACACUGACACUGAGGUGCGAAAGCGUGGGUAGCAAACAGGAUUAGAUACCCCUGUAGUC